rnacentral:piRNA from 1 species
UGCACAGGCUGCUUAAUUUGCCACCCAGAU